CGGAUUGAUGGAUCGAAUCAUAUUUUAUCGGUCUAGAUAAAUGAAUAAAACUACAAAAGAUACCUCGACUGCAAAGAAACGUAAGGGGAGUCGUCAUCUCUUAGAUGAGUUUGGGGCAUUUCACGUUUAGGCACGAUCGUUCAUCCUGUUUCAAGAGAUCAAGCAGAUGGUACGGUAUACCUGUCUAACCAUGUCAAAACCCACACAUGAGGAGCUUUCCUAGCAUCUUCUGGAAUCCCGGGUCUUGCACACAAUGUAGAGCUGCUUGGAUUUCUCUAAUUUCUCCAAUCCCAGUCUUCUAUCUAUUCCUCUGGACAGGAUAAAUGCUGAAAUUAACCAUCAAAACAUUUCUCGGACUUGGUUGCUCCUAACUGAACGCAUCAGAAUAUCAGAUUUGGAGCAUUCAGAUUUGAAUUAGUUAAGAACAAUGGGUGAAAAUAAACCAAACAUAGAUGGCAAUCUAAGCUUAAAUUUGAUCAACUGGUUUCAGUUUUAUGUCAAUGGGGGA
rnacentral:lncRNA from 1 species